rnacentral:lncRNA from 1 species
CGCAUCCUUACCGAGCUACUCAUGCAAGGGAAAGCCCAAUUUACUUAGGCGCUCAAUCAUUUCGAUCAUGUACAAUACAUGAUCAGUGACUGAGACCCCAUCCUUCAUCCGAGCAUUGAAAAUGGUACAACUAGUUUCGUGCCUUUCAACAUCGUCAGGCGUGCCAAAAGAGUCGUUCAACAUUUGAAGCAUCUCCUGCGGC